rnacentral:lncRNA from 1 species
AAAAAUCAAACAAUCCUAAAUAAAAAUGUAUGACAACUAUGUUGACGUCUUCGGGGAGUAUAUAUCCCGAGUCUUUAGCCUUCAGACUCCUCAUAGGGUGGGAAGGAGGUUUCCUCGCCUUUGUGUAAUUCCUCUAGUGGCUUUAUUCCCGAGCUUAUCCUUCUAGCCUUCCCGCCUUGAGUGCGGAUUCUCUUCAACUUGAGAAACUUUGCAUAACAC